rnacentral:rRNA from 1 species
AGAGUUUGAUCAUGGCUCAGGAUGAACGCUAGCUACAGGCUUAACACAUGCAAGUCGAGGGGCAGCAUGAAGUUUGCUUGCAAACUUUGAUGGCGACCGGCGCACGGGUGAGUAACGCGUAUCCAACCUUCCCCUUAGUAGGGCAUAGCCCGGCGAAAGUCGGAUUAAUACCCUAUGUUCUUCGUAGAGGACAUCUGAAAUGAAGCAAAGGUUUACCGCUAAGGGAUGGGGAUGCGUCUGAUUAGGUAGUAGGCGGGGUAACGGCCCACCUAGCCUGCGAUCAGUAGGGGUUCUGAGAGGAAGGUCCCCCACAUUGGAACUGAGCCAGGAUCAAACUC